GAUGAACGCUGGCGGCGUGCUUAACACAUGCAAGUCGAACGGAAAGGCCCAAGCUUGCUUGGGUACUCGAGUGGCGAACGGGUGAGUAACACGUGGGUGAUCUGCCCUGCACUUCGGGAUAAGCCUGGGAAACUGGGUCUAAUACCGGAUAGGACCACAUUUUGGAUGGUGUUGUGGAAAGUUUUUCGGUGUGGGAUGAGCUCGCGGCCUAUCAGCUUGUUGGUGGGGUAAUGGCCUACCAAGGCGUCGACGGGUAGCCGGCCUGAGAGGGGGUACGGCCACAUUGGGACUGAGAUACGGCCCAGACUCCUACGGGAGGCAGCAGUGGGGAAUAUUGCACAAUGGGCGCAAGCCUGAUGCAGCGACGCCGCGUGGGGGAUGACGGCCUUCGGGUUGUAAACUCCUUUCGCUAGGGACGAAGCGCAAGUGACGGUACCUGGAGAAGAAGCACCGGCUAACUACGUG
rnacentral:rRNA from 1 species